CUUGCUUUAACUAUUGUUUAAAAUGCUUAAUGUGUUCUGUGGUUUUACCGUUUUUAGUAUUUAAGUGAUAAAAAAUGGACAGAUACUGGUGAUUGAAAGUAUUUUCUAUCAAACAAAUAGUUGAUUUUGACCUUUUAAUUUCAAUGAGCUGACUUAUUACUCCCCUUUUACCAAAGUUGGCCGUGGCGGAUUUAUAGCCACAAACAAUACUUCAACAAAUGUUGAUACCGAUUUAAGCUUGAUGUUUAUAAUACUGUCUGGAUUCAACUUGUUUUUGAACAAGAAUAACAUCAGACAAGCCAGUCGAAAGAUGAAAUGCCAGACAGGGUCACUGUACAGAAGAUGUCAAUAAAUAUAUGACCUUCUUGAGAAGAACUGUACUAAUACAUUUACUGUAUACCACCACACCCACAGGAAAUACUUAGCCUCUCUGCUCAAUGCCUGUGAUAUAAAAGAGAAGGUUUAGAACACUGUAAAGAACAAACAGUUCCUGUCUAUCCUACUUGAAGAUGUAACAAUGCCAACAAUAUGUGAUUAAUAACAGCUCAUAAUACAGCCAGUUGUGUAACAUAUUAAAAUCAUGAAUAGAAGUAUAUUAUAAUGAGCUAUUACCAUGAUAGAUUUAAGAGUUAAAUGCCGAAAGACUUCACUCUUAUUUAUGGAAUAUGUUUGAAUAUAGACUACAUUUCACCUAUACUUAUAUAAUUAUUAUUAUGCAGUUAUAUUAGCUCGGCUGUUUUCGGAGAAAACCCGAGCUAUUGUUAUAGCCAGCUCGCCGUCUGCCGUUCGCCGUAGGCGUCGUGCUAAAACCUUAACAUUGGCAAUAACUUUUUAAAUAUUGAAGAUAGCAAAUUGAUAUUUGGCAUGCAUGUGUAUCUCAUGGAGCUGCACAUUUUGAGUGGUAAAAUUUUAAGGUGAACAUCAUCCUUCAAGGUCUAGGGUCGAAAAAACAAAGUCAAGGGAAGUAAUAAGCUUGAAAUGGACAUAGUUAUCUGACCUGCCCACGUAUAUAUUUUCGUUAAAUAAAUAAAAGCGGCGCAGUAGGCGGCAUUGUGGUUCUAACAAACACAUUGCGGUAAAAGGUCAACGUCAAGGUCAUCCUUCAAGGUCUACGAUAAAAAAUACACAUUUAAGGGAAGUUAUAAGCUUUACAGGGAGAUAAUUUUUCAAUAUUGAACAUAGCCACUUUAUAUAUUAGGCAUGCAUGUGUAUUUCAUGGAGCUGCACAUUUUGAGUGGUUAAUCUACAGUCACGGUAGUAGCUUUUAAUUAUUUACUACUAAAUAUAGAGAUUUGUUUGAGACAAUUAUUUUCAAGGGAAGUAAUUUAUAUUAUUAAAAAUCUCAUAUUAUAUAUUUCCUUACCAAGAAUUGAAGUUCUAUACACAGUUACUGUACAGAUUUAUUAUUGUGAUUAUUUAUAACUCAAAUGAUUGAUUUUUCAAAGUUUUUUUUCAUGAUAUAAUUUUCAUUUCUUUCAGGUAUUAAGUUGUUAAUAUUGUAGUUCAUUACAUACCUGUAGACUUAUGAAAAAGAAAAAAAAUGUCCAGAUACAUGAUGAACUCUGGCUAUGAUCUCUUUGAUAAACCACAGGCCUUGGUUGUCAGUGAUAUCUGACUUGGUAAUUUUGCAGUGUCUACAGACCCCCCCCCCCCCCAACCCCCGGUUGGAUUGGACAAAAUCCAAGACAAGUAAUAAGGUUUAAGGGAGAUGAUUUCUAUACCUGCCAAAUGAUAAAUAGAAAUUGUAUUUCAAAGUGGCGCAGUAGGGGGCAUUGUGUUUCUGACGAACACAUCUCUUGUUGGGUCACUAGGUUAAAGGUCAAGGUCACUGUGACCUCUAAAAAAAAUUCUGACAAGCUUUCGCAGCCGAGCGUGGCACGUGGCACCCUUUAUGCGGUGCUAUUUUUUUUAAAUUUAUAUUCAAUUCUGCAAAAGGGACUUUAACUAACUGCAUUAUUAUUUUGAAUUUUAAAAUGGUUAUCAUGGUAACCACAUAGCUUUAAUAUUUUUAACUCUUGAACAUUUAUGAUUCCUGAGUAUAUUGAUAUUUGAUAAGUUUUGAGUUAGUUAUGUUUAACAUUAAUUGAAAGAUUAAAUAAAACUUGAACAAAG